UGGGGAAUAUUGCACAAUGGGCGAAAGCCUGAUGCAGCAACGCCGCGUGAGGGAAGACGGUUUUCGGAUUGUAAACCUCUGUUUUCGGUGACGAACAAAUGACGGUAACCGAGUAGGAAGCCACGGCUAACUACGUGCCAGCAGCCGCGGUAAUACGUAGGUGGCAAGCGUUAUCCGGAAUUACUGGGUGUAAAGGGCGCGUAGGCGGGAUGGCAAGUCAGAUGUGAAAUCUAGGGGCUUAACCCCUAAACUGCAUUUGAAACUGUCGUUCUUGAGUGUCGGAGAGGUUGACGGAAUUCCUAGUGUAGCGGUGAAAUGCGUAGAUAUUAGGAGGAACACCAGUGGCGAAGGCGGUCAACUGGACGAUAACUGACGCUGAGGCGCGAAAGCGUGGGGAG
rnacentral:rRNA from 1 species